rnacentral:tRNA from 1 species
AGCCUUGUGGUGUAAUGGCAGCACACAAUACUUUGACUAUUGCGGAGAAGGUUCGAAUCCUUCCAGGGCCGU